rnacentral:Y_RNA from 1 species
GGCUGGUCCAAGUGCAGUAGUGUUUACAACUAACUGAUUGCAAAUAGUUACAGGUUUCUUUGUUCCUUCUCCACUCCCACUGCUUCACUUAACUACCCUUAAACAAAGUUAU